CUAUACAUGCAGUCGAGCGAACAGAUAAGGAGCUUGCUCCUUUGACGUUAGCGGCGGACGGGUGAGUAACACGUGGAUAACCUACCUAUAAGACUGGGAUAACUUCGGGAAACCGGAGCUAAUACCGGAUAACAUAUUGAACCGCAUGGUUCAAUAGUGAAAGGCGGCUUUGCUGUCACUUAUAGAUGGAUCCGCGCCGUAUUAGCUAGUUGGUAAGGUAACGGCUUACCAAGGCAACGAUACGUAGCCGACCUGAGAGGGUGAUCGGCCACACUGGAACUGAGACACGGUCCAGACUCCUACGGGAGGCAGCAGUAGGGAAUCUUCCGCAAUGGGCGAAAGCCUGACGGAGCAACGCCGCGUGAGUGAUGAAGGUCUUCGGAUCGUAAAACUCUGUUAUCAGGGAAGAACAAAUGUGUAAGUAACUGUGCACAUCUUGACGGUACCUGAUCAGAAAGCCACGGCUAACUACGUGCCAGCAGCCGCGGUAAUACGUAGGUGGCAAGCGUUAUCCGGAAUUAUUGGGCGUAAAGCGCGCGUAGGCGGUUUUUUAAGUCUGAUGUGAAAGCCCACGGCUCAACCGUGGAGGGUCAUUGGAAACUGGAAAACUUGAGUGCAGAAGAGGAAAGUGGAAUUCCAUGUGUAGCGGUGAAAUGCGCAGAGAUAUGGAGGAACACCAGUGGCGAAGGCGACUUUCUGGUCUGUAACUGACGCUGAUGUGCGAAAGCGUGGGGAUCAAACAGGAUUAGAUACCCUGGUAGUCCACGCCGUAAACGAUGAGUGCUAAGUGUUAGGGGGUUUCCGCCCCUUAGUGCUGCAGCUAACGCAUUAAGCACUCCGCCUGGGGAGUACGACCGCAAGGUUGAAACUCAAAGGAAUUGACGGGGACCCGCACAAGCGGUGGAGCAUGUGGUUUAAUUCGAAGCAACGCGAAGAACCUUACCAAAUCUUGACAUCCUUUGACCGCUCUAGAGAUAGAGUCUUCCUCUUCGGGGGACAAAGUGACAGGUGGUGCAUGGUUGUCGUCAGCUCGUGUCGUGAGAUGUUGGGGUUAAGUCCCGCAACGAGCCGCACCCUUAGCU
rnacentral:rRNA from 1 species